UGGCAUUACUUAUUAAUCCUAAGAAGACAUGUAGCGGAUGACUGCUCAGAAAAAGCUUCUUUGCUUGACUUGCUUUCGGCCGCACAAAAGAAAGCAAAUGGGGCCCAAGAUAAUUAGAGUAAAAAAAAAGUACAAAGAAGAAUUUUGUGUUUUUGAGUUCUUUUCCCUAGCCGCACAUCUCAUGAAAAAAGCCGCCAGAGGGUUUCCUCAAAACAAAGCUGCACAGAGAAAUAGGACCGCAUAGUGACGUCCAAAAGGGCAUGUUUUUACUAUAAAUAGUGUCUGAUUCUGCCAAUUUAGGCUGGUAAUGCCUAAUUGGAAGUCAAUAAGGAUCGGGAAAAUUCCCGAGAUGCAUUCAAUAAAUAUUAGCACAUCUCUACUUGCUAAUUGCACAAUCAAAUUACCUAACAUGCAUCACAAUUAUCUAAUAAUCACUAAUCUACUCUAAUCUAACCACUUAAUUGCACUUAAUUAAAUUUAAUGAACCCCUAAGCAUAAUUAGCAAACUAAUAAGGCAUAAGUGAGCAAAACUCACUUGGCAAAGCGAAGACUGGAACACCACAACGACGACACGAUGGCGACCGAAAUCCAAACUUUCAGCGAAGUCGGGGGAUACUCAGGCCAGGCCUACAAGCCUCACAAGCCCACAGAAAAUCACUGGGCUUGGACUUGGGCUUGGGCUACUUUACAGGCUUCAAAGAGCUGGGCCGAACAGUUGCUGCGGAAAUGGGCUUCACUGGACUUGAUGGGCUGAAGAAAGGACUAGACUGGGCUGUUCAAGAAUAACGUGGGUUGCUGAACCGGCCCCGAAACUGGGCUGAACCAAGGCUGAAAACAGGCCCAGCUGUUGGGCCAAAACUGCUGGAUUCCAUGGGCUGAAAUUGUUGGCUCGUGGACUGGAAUUGCUGGCCUUCACUUGCCGAAAAUGGGCUGAGCUGAUGGAGGUGGGCUCAAACUUGUUGGGCCGCUGAAACACCGAACUAGCUUGCUACGACAGAGACGUGAAGCUCGCUGGAUUUCUGUUUGCUUCAGUUGACGGUGAUGCUGCUCCGCUUGGUGGAUCAUUGGACAUGGCAGAUAAAUCCAGUGGACGUUGAGGAUGCUGCAGUGUUGACCAAUGGAUGGAGAUCCCGGUGGACUUGCUUCAGUGAGUGAAGCUACAAGAGAUGCUAAAGACGCAUGGAUCGGUGAAGCAGAAGGAAAUCAGUUGCUGGCGUCUUCAAUUGAGGGCUUUGUCAAGGGGGUUUUGACCGAGAGUGGAGAUGGCUGAUGGUGGCUUCGCAGGCAAGAGAUGUUGACCGAGCGGGAUAUGAGGAAGAGCUGCAGAGAAGAAGCAGCUUCGGUGCUGCUCCUACUGGUGUCUUCGAUGGAGAAUAGAUGGAGAACAAGAGCCGCAGGGAAAUUGACGAAGGAGAGAGAGAUCGUGGGGCGCUGAGCUCUUCCAUAGGACGAAGGAAAAAGUAGAACUUAAAAGAAAUGGGUUGGGGGCAGUUGUACGUGAAGAUAAG
rnacentral:lncRNA from 1 species